rnacentral:rRNA from 1 species
UACGUAGGUGGCAAGCGUUGUCCGGAUUUACUGGGCGUAAAGGGCGUGCAGGCGGUUGGUUAAGUCUCGGGUGAAAGCUCCCGGCUCAACUGGGAGAGGUCCUUGGAUACUGGCCGACUUGAGGGAGGCAGAGGAGAGUGGAAUUCCCGGUGUAGUGGUGAUAUGCGUAGAUAUCGGGAGGAACACCAGUGGCGAAGGCGGCUCUCUGGGCCUUACCUGACGCUGAGACGCGAAAGCGUGGGGAGCGAACCGG